UACGUAGGGUGCGAGCGUUGCCCGGAUUUAUUGGGCGUAAAGGGCGCGUAGGCGGCUCUGCACGUCCGUUGUGAAAUCGCCCGGCUCAACUGGGCGGGGUCAGCGGAUACGGCGGAGCUUGAGCAAGCUAGGGGGCAAUGGAAUUCCCGGUGUAGUGGUGGAAUGCGUAGAUAUCGGGGAGGAACACCAGUGGCGAAGGCGGUUGCCUGGGGCUUGCUGACGCUGAUGCGCGAAAGCGUGGGGAGCGAUCCGG
rnacentral:rRNA from 1 species